UGAGUUGCGAACGGGUGAGUAACGCGUAGGUAACCUGCCUUGUAGCGGGGGAUAACUAUUGGAAACGAUAGCUAAUACCGCAUAACAAUGGAUGACACAUGUCAUUUAUUUGAAAGGGGCAAUUGCUCCACUACAAGAUGGACCUGCGUUGUAUUAGCUAGUAGGUGAGGUAAUGGCUCACCUAGGCGACGAUACAUAGCCGACCUGAGAGGGUGAUCGGCCACACUGGGACUGAGACACGGCCCAG
rnacentral:rRNA from 1 species